GUGGCUCUUUUACUGUUCCUCUUGGUAGAAGGACAUCUGCAAGUGCUUUGCUGCAAGCAGCAAGCACUGGUGGUACAUAUGAAUCUACCUUUAGUCUAACUGGCAGGAUCAUAGAGGAGAGGAGGCGUCAGUUGAAGCCAGAGAUGGUAGAAAUGCUCACAUGCAUCAAAGACUGGGAGGCUGCAGAUGAAAGAGCUCAGCACAUGGUGGAGGAUGGAGACCUGCAGGCAGCUUAUGAAGAUCAGUACCUUGAUGAAACUCCAGCACAAGCUGCUGUGUAAUAGGAUAGUUUAUUUGCACUGCAUGACUAUGAGGUUAAUUUAACACUGGAACUUGAACUUAAUGAGCUGGGCUGUACUCUUUUUUCCUAUCUAGGGUUUUCUCACGAGGUGUGAGUUUUUACCUAGAUAGGUUUUUAAUGAGGCAGCCAUUGCACAAAACAGCUCAUCCUUGAUAUUUUGUUGAUUUCUGUCAUUUUUUGUUACUCAAGAUGAAUUGAUCUGUUGAAUGAGUCAUGUUGCGAUUUUA